UCUGUUUUUUUGGCCAGCACACGUUUCACAUGCACUUCAAGUGCACACAACAGGAGCUGCAGUGGCAACAACAACACACUCGCACACAUUGAGCAAACUUUACGCGCAAAACGCGAAAAUCACAGCCCGAAAGUGAAGCGCAACAAGAGAAAAUGGCUAAAUCCCAGCCAAGUCGACACCCGAAUGCUCUGAAAGCAAAAUUCCCAUAUAAGCAAAAAUUUAGGAGGGAAUGCAUUUGUGUGAAAUUGAAAAUUGCAAACUACUCUUUACAUUAAAACCAGAAUCGAAGCCGUGUUGUGAAAUGGUUCACUUCUCAUUGAAUUUCAAUCGAAAGCCUUACUUUAUGUUAAAUAACUAGAGCUAUUUAAACUUUUGAAAUAUUUUUUAACAUCGAUAAAAUUACAUAUUAGGCCUUAAGAAUUGAUUAGGUGAAGCAUUUCUGUUAGUUUUACAACACUGUUUGCCAUAAUCCUAAAUCCUAUUUUUAAGUGUUGUAAAAUUGUAGUAGAUCAGUCAAGGCAAAAAAUUGUUAUAUAUUUGAAAAUAUUUUGGACCAGCUAUACUAUUGACUUGAGGCAUAAGCAACUAUUCAGUAUGGUGCACCAGAUAUAACGAGUUUCUGUGCAAUUUGACUUGUUGGAAAACUUAACUCGUUAAUAAUCCUCAGCUACACUCGUGUAGAGCAUUAUAAGCUCUGACCAUUCCGAUUGCCUGUUACUGUGAAGCUCAUGCGAAUCUCUGCCAGUUUAUACAAGAGGAGGCUGCGCUUUGCCGCGCCGCGCCGUGCAACUCGCAAUUCGCAACUUGCAACUCACAACUCAUGUGUAAAAGGGGACAAUGCAGGUUUUAGCUUUAAUAAAGCGACUAUGCGAGCCGUUGCCAGACCCACAGGCAGACGCACAUACACACGCGCGCACACCCACACAAUAGCAUCCUGGACAUGAUGGCGAGUCGCAGAGUCCAACAGCGACCACUUUUUGGGUCCGGACUACACAUGCUUCGGCUCUGGUGCGCCGUUUGCCUGUUUUGGUUUGGUUUGGUUGUGUACUUGAUUUUUGGGCAAAGCGGCAAAUAACAUUUUUGUUUGGCUUUGACGUUGUUGCAAUUGCAACGGUUAUUCCAUUUGCUUGACAAAUAUACGAUGACGAGAACGAUGGCUAUGGCUAUGGCAAUGGAGGUGGAAAUGGAAGUGGAAGUGGCAUGGCACGGAACGUUUAGUCCCUGGCCGAACCUGUACCAGCUUCAGAGUUUGUGCGGGAGUUCAAACUUUUAGCGGGAAUUAUGCGCAUUUUUGUUUGGUUGGCAGCGGCGCAAGUGGCGACUGACGAGUGAGAGAAACGCUUAAAUCCAACUGCAAUGGCUGGGUUAAUGGCCAUGUGAGUGUUUCUGUCUACGUGUGCGUGUGUGUGUGUGUGUUUGUGUGUGGGAUGUGGCACUGCCAAAGGCUUUCAAGCAGCAUGCAAUAUACAUUCUGUUGCAUACUUUUUUGGGCUCUCAAACUUCAAAGCAAUCGACAGAAAAGCCACUCACAAAGUGCUCAAAAUAAACUCCCAAAGCCAUAUUAAUAGCAUAAGAUGGUAGUCAAAAAAAAAAUUCGUUGCGUUUAAAAACUUAGAAAAGACAAACUAAAGCUAAAGAUAAAUGCAGAAAUAUAAUGUAAAAAAGCUGCUUUAAAUUGGGAAUAUUUUAAAUAGCUAUCAAAUUCGUUAGUUAAACCUCAACUGAAAUUUGAAAUAAUAAGCACACCCGUCAGCUUGUUAAAA